UUGGUCACCGAUAUACUCCAUAAGAAAAGAGCGAUUAGUUCGGGUCGAUUGGAACAGUGGAGAAUUGAUGAUGCGGACUGCCAAGUGGAUAAAGAAUAGAGAAAAAGAAAUAAG